rnacentral:rRNA from 1 species
UACGUAGGGAGCAAGCGUUGUCCGGAAUCAUUGGGCGUAAAGGGCGCGUAGGCGGUCGUGACAAGUCACUUGUGAAAUCUCCGGGCUUAACUCGGAACGGUCAAGUGAUACUGUCGGACUAGAGUACAGAAGGGGGCAACUGGAAUUCUCGGUGUAGCGGUGAAAUGCGUAGAUAUCGAGAGGGAACACCUGGCGGCGAAGGCGGGUUGCGUGGGCUGACACUGACGCUGGAAGCGACGAAAGCUAGGGGAGCGAACGGG